AAUCCUGUUUGGCGAUAGCUUCAGCAUAGAGAAGGUAUAUAGUAAAGAAACUCACAAAGAAAUACAAUUGAUGUACGUAGAUUUUGAAAACAAGAUGUCCAGUCGCUUGACUGUUCAGGAGCGAGUUAAGAUAACAGCAUGUAGAAUUCCAUUGUUCUGGUUCGGAGAUAGUGGUGUGCAUGGAAAAGUAAGCACACAAUACGACAUCCAGAGACAAUAAAAAGUUGUCAUGAAAAGCUGAUGACCACAGGCUCUGUGAAUGAUGCAAGAAGUGGCUAUCCAACCACAUUCCAAUCCAAACAGAAAGUUAAAAAAUGUUCAAACGUUGUGGUAUAUUGGAGCAAUUUUUCAUCAAUGGAAAAGUCCAGUGAAAUCUGUUUUAGACUGGUAAGGACAAUUCAAAAUGGCUACCCCCUUAGAGUUACAUCAAAAACAAAGAGCAGUGAUUGAAUUUCUUGUUGCUGAGGGGGCAAAUCCCUGUGAACAUUCACCGACGAUUACAAAAUGUCUUUGAGGGCAAUACUCUAGAUUAUAGCAAUGUAUGCAGGUGAGUCCAUCGUCUGAAAGAUGAAAAGGUGGGAACUGUAAAUGUAGCCAAUAAACUCCAUUCUGGCUGUCUGUCUUCUUCUGUGAAUCCUGCCAAUAAAGCAAAAGCAGAUGCUCUGAUCAGAGAAGACAGGCGCAUAACUCUUGAUGAGUUGGCAGAAAACCUUGAAGUGAGCCAUGGAAGUGCUUAAAACAUUGUCGAAUCACUUGGCUUUUCAAAAGUGUGUGCCCGUUGGGUACUGAGAAAGCUGACUACUGAACACAAGACUGACAGGGUCAAUGCCUGCACUGAACUUCUCGAACAAAGUCAAAGAGACAACACCUUCUUUCGAAGGCUCGCAACAGGUGAUGAAACAUGGGUUCAUCAUUAUGAACUAGAAUCAAAGAGGCAAUCAAUGGAAUGGCGCCACUCUACAUCACCACCACCGAAAAUGUUCGAGACGCAAAAGUCAGCUGGAAAAAUCAUGGCGACUGUCUUUUGGGAUGCUCAAAGUGUCAUUCUGGUCAAUUUCUUACCAAAAGGAAAAACAAUAAACUCUGAGGCCUACAUUGAGACCCUGACGAGGCUCAGAGCAAGAAUCCAACGAGUAAGACCCAAUUUGCUAAUCAACAAACACACACACACACACACACACAAAUGGGUUUACAAGUGUUGCUACAAUUGAUUCAUUAGGCAUGUUUAUUUUGAUAUAAGCACCAUACAAUUAUUUAGAUUACACAAUACACUAUAUAACCCCCAAACUCAUCAGGCACUCAUGUAAACCAGUGAACAACAACUUGUUGAGUAAUCCAUAGAAUUAUCAACAAAUGAA